UUUUUGCUGAGGGACUGGGGAGGAGGGAAGAAGGGGCAUGCAAAUGUGUUUCAGGUGUUUUAUAUGUGCUCAAAUGAACCCAGGGAGUUUGGGAUCCAUCUAUAAGACAAAAUAUUGUUGGCAACCCUGGAUUUGCUGUAGUUUGCGCUAGGAAACCAUGACAGCUCUGAAUUUUCUGCUUCCUUAAACUUUUUCAAGAGGUGAGUUUGGUUGUUUGAUAUCCUAAGGUUGAUAAAGGAAAUUAGGGGUGUACUCGACUCCAUUCUUUGGUCUGAACUGUGUUUAGCGAGUAGCAGGUAUGCUAGCACACUUGAAACACAUUCGCAUGCUCCCUCCUCCCCUCAAAAAAAACUGCACUCAAGCAGAAAAGAGGGAUCUUCAGGCUUUAUGCUGUUAUUUGGUGACCUCCUUUUUGAUUAGCACUUGUUAAGUUUCCUCUUAUCCAGUUAAAUUAGAUUGUAAAAAUGUUGUGGAAAGCACCCGUGCCACCAUAUGUGUGGGCUUAUCUACUCAAGGAAUACCAGAUCAAUAAGAGAACCAAAUGUGAAAAUUUUGUGUGAAUUUUCAGAUGUGUGGUACAGUGUGAGAUGUGUGGGACCAUGUGUUCCAAAAGUCACUUGGUUUCUCUGAUGUCUUCAGACCAAGAAUAGCCUAGGGUUAUUUGACCGAGUAGGGAGGAUCUAUAGGGUAUGGUUAAGUGUUUGAGCUUAGAGGCCUGGUGAAGAAGUUAGUUACCUUGGUUUGAAUAUUCACCUGAUUUCCAACUUUUGUUAACAUCUUUGAGCCUCCAUAUUCUCGUAUAUAAAAUGAGGAUAGUAAAUAACCUAUCUCACAGGAUUUCUAUGAGGUUUAAAUAAGCCUCCCUCCCUGCUCUGCCCCUCCUCAUCUCUGCCCGCUCUUUCUCACUCCCCAGGAUCUGGGUCAUACACAGACCAUCUCUUAGGAAGGAGUAAAGUAGGAGAUAAAAACUAAUCUUUAUCUGAUGUUCUUGUCCAACAUGUACUGGCAUUUCCAGGUGUACAAAGCUGAUUAAAAUCUGAAGACCUAUAUUCUUUUUUAAACGUUGUUAAUUAAUCUUCAUAUGGCGUUAGCCAGCUCACUUACCUUGGAGCUUACCUUCUGCAUCUUUUAAAUGGGAAUAGUGCUUUCCCACUAUCCGUUGUAUACAUGUUGUUCCCUCUGCUUGGGAUUGUCUUUCUUCUUUACUCCACUCUACCUUUAUGUCAGGAAGCUGCUACUCAUCCCUCAAAAGCCUUCUCUAUGUGAUCUCCUUCCCAAAACCUUCUGAGAUACUUCCAGCGCCAUCUCUGGCCAGAGGAUAUUAGGACUUUCUGCUGCUAAGGAAUCACAAUUCCUUGUUAAUUUCCUUAUUAUAGCACGUUUCAUAUAAAUCAUUUGUUCACUUCUCCUGUUAGAUUGUAAACUCUUUAAAGAUAGAAUUCAUUCUUGUUCAUUUUUUAAAAAUCAUCCCAGUGUCAGCACAGUGCCUAGAACAGAAUAGGCCUUUAGAAAAUGCGCUACCUCACAAUGUUAUCCUGUGGAUAAUUACUAGAUAUGAAAGUGUUUUAUAAAUUAUAUACCUAAAAUAUACCUAAAAGAUCUAGAAGGUGUUAGUAUUAAGAGAAAACUGCAUGAGUCUGCAUCAGGAAGUUCAUCCCUUUCAAAAUCACAGUGCCCACUAAGCUUAGGUUUGAAUUGAUGCCAAAGUUUGCCUCAUUAGGAAAAAGAUUAAAUUUUUCUUAAUGCUCUGAUUACUUCUUAUUAGGGCAUUUGAAUAUUGUUACUAAUUGGUCCUGGAGCUUGGAAAAGAAAAUCUCAUAUUCAUACUUUACACAUUGUUUUAAUUUGACA
ensembl:lncRNA